rnacentral:rRNA from 1 species
AUUGAACGCUGGCGGCAGGCCUAACACAUGCAAGUCGAGCGGUAGAGGGGUGCUUGCACUCCUUGAGAGCGGCGGACGGGUGAGUAAUGCCUAGGAAUCUGCCUGGUAGUGGGGGAUAACGUUCGGAAACGGACGCUAAUACCGCAUACGUCCUACGGGAGAAAGUGGGGGCUCUUCGGACCUCACGCUAUCAGAUGAGCCUAGGUCGGAUUAGCUAGUUGGUGAGGUAAAGGCUCACCAAGGCGACGAUCCGUAACUGGUCUGAGAGGUUGAUCAGUCACACUGGAACUGAGACACGGUCCAGACUCCUACGGGAGGCAGCAGUGGGGAAUAUUGGACAAUGGGCGCAAGCCUGAUCCAGCCAUGCCGCGUGUGUGAAGAAGGUCUUCGGAUUGUAAAGCACUUUAAGUUGGGAGGAAGGUCAGUAGCUUAAUACGUUGCUGAUUUGACGUUACCGACAGAAUAAGCACCGGCUAACCCUGUGCCAGCAGCCGCGGUAACAC